rnacentral:rRNA from 1 species
CCUACGGGGGGCAGCAGUGGGGAUUAUUGGACAAUGGGGGCAACCCUGAUCCAGCCAUGCCGCGUGUGUGAAGAAGGCCCUCGGGUUGUAAAGCACUUUCAGUGAGGAAGAACGCCUGGUGGUUAAUACCCAUCAGGAAAGACAUCACUCACAGAAGAAGCACCGGCUAACUCCGUGCCAGCAGCCGCGGUAAUACGGAGGGUGCGAGCGUUAAUCGGAAUUACUGGGCGUAAAGCGCGCGUAGGUGGCUUGAUAAGCCGGUUGUGAAAGCCCCGGGCUCAACCUGGGAACGGCAUCCGGAACUGUCAAGCUAGAGUGCAGGAGAGGAAGGUAGAAUUCCCGGUGUAGCGGUGAAAUGCGUAGAGAUCGGGAGGAAUACCAGUGGCGAAGGCGGCCUUCUGGACUGACACUGACACUGAGGUGCGAAAGCGUGGGUAGCAAACAGGAUUAUAUACCCUUGUAGUC